UACAGAGGUCUCAAGCGUUGUUCGGAUUCACUGGGCGUAAAGGGUGCGCAGGCGGCCAAGUGUGUGAGGCGUGAAAGCCCAGGGCUUAACCCCGGAAUUGCACCUCAAACUACAUGGCUAGAGCAUUGGAGAGGGUAGCGGAAUUCACGGUGUAGCAGUGAAAUGCGUAGAUAUCGAGAGGAACACCUGCGGCGAAGGCGGGUUGCUGGGCUGACACUGACGCUGAUGCGCGAAAGCCAGGGGAGCGAACGGG
rnacentral:rRNA from 1 species